UCGAGAGAAGUUACUUUGCUUCUGAUACUGCAUAUAUUAAAUUAUGGGGACUAAAAGCCAUAGUCAGUGCUCUGAGCCGGUGCUGAGAGCUUUAAUUCCGUCCGUAGCGCUGGAUAUUAUCUAUCUGGCAGCAAAGGUGAUGUCUGUUUACAAAUUGGACUAACUCAGCUGCCCAGAGGAUGCUGGAGAUUAGUAUUUACACCUUAGCAGCAGGUAACAGGUAGCAGAUGGCAUGGUAUGUUUUGUGGAUAAUUUAUAUGUAAUUGAUGUUGGGUAAAUACAGACUUUAGUGUUGCUGUGUGUUAGCUGACCCUUCUAUGUACUUCAGAGCCAGAAUUACUCGUAUUUCUACACAGAGUGCUGUUUAGAUGAUCAAAGUUUACUGUCGGAAAGUGUGUUGACUCUUGCACUCCAGUGUUAAAAGCAGCAGUUGUGAUAUCUGAUACGCUACUGAGCAAAGAGGUGAAACGUGAUGUCCAGGAAAAUGAUGAAGAAGCGGUGCAAGUCAAAGAGCAGAGCAUCCUGGAAUUGGGAUCGCUUUUGGCCAAGACUGGGCAAGCAGAAGUUUCUUUCUCAAUUAAUUGAUUCAUCUGCUGAAACAACAUUACAUCAGAAAAUCCGUGGCCAACUCUACACAAGAGCAAGACUUGACAGUCCUCCUAUUGUGAGUGUGAAAAGGCAGAAAUGGAGUAAUGUUCUCUAUUCAAUGGUCUUUGAGUAGGAUCCGUUCAUAUCUUCUGUUUCCUGGAAAGCUCAAGGCAGCAUGUUUGUUGUUUUGUGCUCAGCAGUUUUGUUUUGUUUUUCCUGAAGAAUGCUCUUGCCUUUCGGGAGCGCCUUUCACCUCAAGCAUUUUAGAAGCUGAUACACCGCGUCCGUACAAAGAGCGUUCUGUCUGUGGCGGACAGUUGGCCCUGCUAUAGCCUUGCUGUUUUCUAACUGUGCACAACAAUAAUUCAGAAUGUGAAGUGAAGCGUGUGUGCUUUUAACAAACUGAAACUGGUUGGGGAAAACAGGCCGGCAGAACAUUUAAUCAAACCGAAAUUCGACUGGGAUGCCAGAGCUAAUGUUAGAGUGGUUCAUAGAAAGCAGUGUGAGGUCUCAUAUAACAGCUGAUCAAGAUCGCCGUUUUAUAUUUGGUCUGAAACCCGUACCUUUUGUCCUGCUCUCUUUGUAAACAUAUAUUUUGACUUGGUCGUUUAGCUGAUCUGCCCACAUCUACAUGUGUUUGAGCAUUCUGGACACUGAUCCCGCUGUGAUUUGCAAUUGAACAGAGCUUGUGACAAAGUAGAUUACUUGCACUUAGAGCAAUGCUGGAAACAAAGGUGCUAUUCAUCUUACCUAACUAUAGAUGCUCACAGCUGAUUUCCUAGUCUGGACUGCCUUUAUAGUCAGUGGAGAAAAAUAAGCCCUUCCAGCGCACAGUUCAUCUCUUCCUACGGUGAGCAUUUAGUACAAGACAAGUGAAGCAGGCUGUAAAAGCGCCUAUUUGUUUAACUGAAUUUUAGAGGACCUUAGUCAGUUAGCUCAGGUAGAGGUGUCUGUGUUGUACAUGUGGCCUUUGCGCUCGGAUGUUUACUUCUGUAAAGAUAACUAAACAUGGCUUUGCUCCUGCACCAGGGAAGAUCGUUUUGGGCUAGAUAGAGGGAAAUCGUGAGAAGAGCAAUUGAUUUCUCCAAGGAAAUGAUUUGAUGUGGUGCUGGUCUACAGAAGCCUAAGAAAAGAGAUCUCUUAGGUGCCUGAUGGCUUCUUUACUGUUGCAGGAUUUUGAGUAUUUCUGAGUUUAAGCCUGACACACAAGUAGGAAGAACUUCAGUGUGUGCUCACGGGAUGGCUAGCUAAUAGAUUUCUAUGGGGAAAGCUAAGUCAUUGAAAAUGACAAUGUUAAUUUAUCAAAACCAGGUUUAUGAAGGAGUAAAUGUAAAAUGUAUUUGAUGUCUAUUAAAGAGAACACUAAACUGCAGAGCAAGUAUAUUUUGAAUGGAAGUAAAUGGAUCUGGCAACAUUAAGAAGCAAGUUGCGUAUUUGUAAAUCAGAAUGAGAUCACCGUGUUGCGCCUUCUGGAGAUUUCUGGUGAAGCUGAGGGAGGAAGAAAGGGGAUGCCACAGUUAAGAGAUGCACCAGCCCUGUGGGAAAGACGCUGCCGCCUCCCUUUCUGUCAUCUUUCUAGGGCGAAGUAGACUAGUAGAAGUGACAAGUAGUCAAGGCCAGCAACCUCUUCACCUGGUACAACUGUUCAUAAAGACGCUAGCACAGGUAGACACACCGAUCUUCAUAUCCAACGGGAGCGAAUCCGGUUCCAGUGCUUGCUCCUGCGGACCCUAACAAGGAAAUUAUUGAAACAGUGCAGUUUCUGGCAGGAAUGAGAUAGAUCCUGUUGUAGAUCUCACCACACACGUUUUAGCUAGGGAAAUUUCUUCAACAGAUUCUAGGCAUUGCAUUGGCUUGUUGGUUACUCUGAAGUGGUAACUUCCCAGAGGUGAAAGGGUCUGUGAGUUGCAGCGUAGGGAAAAGAUCGGCUCCAAUUUGGUAGGAUUUGACAGCUUUGACUGCUGUGGCACUGGGUGGCUGCGAGUGUAAAACGAAUCUAUAGUCUUUAGAGGACUAACCUUUAGUGGACUACUGUCUUCCUUUAAAAACAAGCAACCAAAACCAAAUGACCCUCUCUUCAUCUGCUGGAUAAAGAAUAAGGUCUGAACUGGUAGAUAAUGACAUUUUUUCAGACAGUGCUAGAUUUUGUAGUGCUGCUUGAAACUGUAGCAUUGGAAUAACUCCUUCAGAUCAGGAGUUCAGGUGUGUGGCGUGUUAGGUUGUGGAAGGGCUUUUUCUGAGGCUGAACAGCAGACUUCAUUUUCCAGGGCUGCUGCUCAUCGGCUCUCUAAAGCUGUCAAUCACACCCCUUUACCGAGCAUUGCUUUCACUUUAAAAAAAAAAAAAUUCCUAAAAAUAGUUGACAGUUACAUUGAUGGGAAAGAGGAAUUUCUAUGGGAACUUUUGGCUUGCAUGUCUGAAUUUGUAGUUUGCAAAAUGUAUGGAUUUCCUAGCUGGCGACUUGGAACUUGCUUUCUAAUGAAUUCUCAGGCAGCUGUUGAGCAAGUCUACAGCAAGAUAAGGACUGCAGUAUUUUUCUCGUGAUUUUUGCUCUAAAGUUCCUUUCUUUUGUGAAAGAGUAUGUUCUGCAUUAAAAGAAAGCAUAUUUUAGUUGGUCUUGAGAAGCUGGCCUAAUGCAGUAACCCACAAUGUGAAAAGUGGCGCUGUGUGUUAUUUGAGAAUUAAUGGGCUUUGGUGGAGUCUUAUUUAUUCUGGGAAACUGAUAAGAAAGACUGAAAACGGUCUAAUUUUUAGUUAUAGGCCUCAAAGCUAAGGAUCUAAUGCUGUGACCUGAAAAGAAACGGACUUGCUCCCUGUGUUGAGACGCUGUGUUUCUGAGCGCUCGUAUUAGUUGCAUCGGGGAAGAAAUAAGAACAUAAGUACCUGCCACAGCAGCUGCGGGGCAAGUCAAGGUUUUGCACUGCUUCUCUUCCAAGCCCAGCAAGCAGAGCUUUCUAAACUCGCGUCAAGAGAGAUUUGAGAGUAGCUCUGUGCAAAACGAAUGUAUUUCGUGUGCCGUGACGCUAAAAAGCAGCUGUCCGCUGCUGGCAUAGUACUUUGCUUGCUGUAUGUGGAAACCAUCGAUGAAAAUGUUUGCCUUUCGUUCAAACGAUCAGGAUUUGCGUGCGUAAGUGGUGCUGCAGAUUGAGUAGUUUGCAGUGCAGUGUGUGGCCUCAGGGCGAAGGCAGCGCAGCUGAGAUCGUGAUCUGUCACGGGGCGGUGGGUGAGCAGUGCUCCUUGCUGAAAAAAAGCUGACUGCUGAUGGAAAUUGUCAUUCUGUGGGGCUCAAUCUCUCGAGUUAAAUUAGUACUACCUCGGUUCUAGAAAAAUCUGCGCGUUUAUUUUUAGGCCCAGAGAAAGUGAAACUUUUCUGGCGUUUUAUGCGGUGCCGUCAUAAUGACGUGUUGUGCUCCCUAUGCAAAGUCCUAAUAGUUUGUUGUAGAACGAAUCAUGGCUUGUUGUCCUGCUGUUUGGAAAACAAGGCUCCCCUAAGAUUUAAAGGCACUCUCCAGAUUAAUAAGUUUCAUUUGAUCCAAAACUGCACUUCCAGUUGCAUGAAAAUGUCAAUACACCACCAUUAGCAGCUGGGAUAGACUACACCGUGCGUUCAAUAUCUUGACAGUGUAAGAAAUGCAAUUAUAUCAGACUUGAUUUAGUUUUUAAAAUAAAUAGGUCGAAAAAGUUAAAAAAAAAACUUUU
ensembl:lncRNA